rnacentral:rRNA from 1 species
UAAGGGCGCACGGUGGAUGCCUUGGCACUAGAAGCCGAUGAAGGACGUUACUAACGACGAUAUGCUUUGGGGAGCUGUAAGUAAGCUUUGAUCCAGAGAUUUCCGAAUGGGGAAACCCAGCAUGAGUUAUGUCAUGUUAUCGAUAUGUGAAUACAUAGCAUAUCAGAAGGCACACCCGGAGAACUGAAACAUCUUAGUACCCGGAGGAAGAGAAAGAAAAUUCGAUUCCCUUAGUAGCGGCGAGCGAAACGGGAAGAGCCCAAACCAACAAGCUUGCUUGUUGGGGUUGUAGGACACUCUAUACGGAGUUACAAAGGACGACAUUAGACGAAUCAUCUGGAAAGAUGAAUCAAAGAAGGUAAUAAUCCUGUAGUCGAAAAUGUUGUCUCUCUUGAGUGGAUCCUGAGUACGACG